rnacentral:rRNA from 1 species
UACAGAGGGUGCGAGCGUUGUCCGGAAUCACUGGGCGUAAAGGGCGCGUAGGUGGCGGGCCAAGUCCAUGGUGAAAGCUCGAUGCUCAACAUCGAGUCGGCCACGGAUACUGGUUCGCUGGAGCACUGUAGAGGCAGAUGGAAUUCCGGGUGUAGCGGUGAAAUGCGUAGAUAUCUGGAGGAACACCGGUGGCGAAGGCGGCAUCCUGGACCGGCAUUGACGCUGAGGCGCGAAAGCCAGGGGAGCAAACGGG